AGAGAGAUCGAGGCCAGACUGUGAGAGUUGUAAGCCGAGAGCCAAACUGUGAGAGUCGUAAGCCAGGGCAAGCUUGGGGCUACCUCUUUUUGUUUCUUUGUUGUUGAUGAGUAAUGGAUAGUUUUUGAAUAUUGAGAAGUUAGUUUAGAAUGCCAAACUGUGAUAGUCGUAAGCUGAGAUAUUGAAUUCUGUGUGAUGAAUUGAGAAACUGAAUACAAUA
rnacentral:lncRNA from 1 species